rnacentral:ribozyme from 1 species
AUAAUUUAUUUGAUUGUGCAUAUUGGUAACAUGUGCCAUCCCAAGCUCCAAACUUGAGUACACGGACCUAUUCAAGCCCCUUGGGUGGAUGGUUACACAUGGCGAAUCAUGAGGGG